AUAGCUUGCUUUACACUACUUUCUUCUCCACUGUCCUCUUCAUUUCUAGCUACAACAAACACUUCCUCUGUUCCCUGGAUCAACAUCUCCACCAUCUCCGUCAAGCAACCCUCUGUGGCGAACGAGGAAUUUGUCAGCCAGCAACGAUACAAGUUCUAGUCUGCAUUCUCAUGGAGUGCGCGGUUCCUGUAACCAACAGAGAAGGAAUAAUCAGCCAUAUUAUUGGAGCCUGCUAAAUCAAUCAAUUUGGUUCCAACCUGGUUAGGCAUGUUCUUUGAAGAUGCAUUCACUGUUUGAAGAGAUUUGGCAAUCUGGUAUCAAUAAAUGAAACCCUGCAAUCCUGUUGAUUCCUUAUUUUAUUAGAUUCCUACAAACAAGAUGAUCUUGCUACUUGUGUUAUUAUAAUGGCGAGCUUGUUCUUUUAUGUUUCUGUAAUACUUUAAUUUUACAUGUGCAUCUGGUGCUCCUGAACUUAGGAGCUGAAACUGAGAAUACUAUAUUUGAGAAUAUCAGAAACGUGAUUCUAUUGUACCAACUGAAUCACCGGACUUUGAAAUGGUCCUUUGUGUUU